AACGAACGCUGGCGGCAUGCCUAACACAUGCAAGUCGAACGAGAUCCUUCGGGGUCUAGUGGCGCACGGGUGCGUAACGCGUGGGAAUCUGCCCUUAGGUUCGGAAUAACAGUUAGAAAUGACUGCUAAUACCGGAUGAUGACGUUAAGUCCAAAGAUUUAUCGCCUGAGGAUGAGCCCGCGUAGGAUUAGCUAGUUGGUGUGGUAAAGGCGCACCAAGGCGACGAUCCUUAGCUGGUCUGAGAGGAUGAUCAGCCACACUGGGACUGAGACACGGCCCAGACUCCUACGGGAGGCAGCAGUGGGGAAUAUUGGACAAUGGGCGCAAGCCUGAUCCAGCAAUGCCGCGUGAGUGAUGAAGGCCUUAGGGUUGUAAAGCUCUUUUACCCGGGGUGAUAAUGACAGUACCGGGAGAAUAAGCCCCGGCUAACUCCGUG
rnacentral:rRNA from 1 species